rnacentral:rRNA from 1 species
AAAACUACGAGCGAAAGCCUAAAACUCAAAAGACUUGACGGUGCCCCAACCUACCUAGAGGAGCCUGCUACAUAAUCGAUAAUCCACGAUAAACCUAACCACCCCUUGAAAUAUUCAGCCUAUAUACCGCCGUCAUUCAGCCUACCUUCUAAAAGACACUAAGCAAGCAAAACAGUAUAUUCUACUAAAAAGUCAGGUCAAGGUGUAGCUAAUGGGGUGGAGCUAGUGGGCUACAUUUUCUAAAAUAGAAUACAUCGAACUAGAACCUGAAAUACAACUAUAAAGGCGGAUUUAGCAGUAAGUUAAACUAGAACAUUUAACUUAACACAGCCCUGGAGCACGUACACACCGCCCGUCACCCUCCUCAAUACCAGACGAUAUAUAAUUAAUUCAUUAAUACCCACAAGAUGAGGCAAGUCGUAACAAGGUAAGCGUACUGGAAGGUGCGCUUGGUCAAC